rnacentral:rRNA from 1 species
GGGUUGUGAGGUUAAGCGACUAAGCGUACACGGUGGAUGCCCUGGCAGUCAGAGGCGAUGAAGGACGUGCUAAUCUGCGAUAAGCGCCGGUAAGGUGAUAUGAACCGUUAUAACCGGCGAUUUCCGAAUGGGGAAACCCAGUGUGAUUCGUCACACUAUCAUUAACUGAAUCCAUAGGUUAAUGAGGCGAACCGGGGGAACUGAAACAUCUAAGUACCCCGAGGAAAAGAAAUCAACCGAGAUUCCCCCAGUAGCGGCGAGCGAACGGGGAGGAGCCCAGAGCCUGAAUCAGCAUGUGUGUUAGUGGAAGCGUCUGGAAAGGCGCGCGAUACAGGGUGACAGCCCCGUACACAAAAGCGCAUGUGCUGUGAGCUCGAUGAGUAGGGCGGGACACGUGGUAUCCUGUCUGAAUAUGGGGGGACCAUCCUCCAAGGCUAAAUACUCCUGACUGACCGAUAGUGAACCAGUACCGUGAGGGAAAGGCGAAAAGAACCCCGGCGAGGGGAGUGAAAAAGAACCUGAAACCGUGUACGUACAAGCAGUGGGAGCACAGGUUUACCUGUGUGACUGCGUACCUUUUGUAUAAUGGGUCAGCGACUUAUAUUCUGUAGCAAGGUUAACCGAAUAGGGGAGCCGGAGGGAAACCGAGUCUUAAUUGGGCGUUAAGUUGCAGGGUAUAGACCCGAAACCCGGUGAUCUAGCCAUGGGCAGGUUGAAGGUUGGGUAACACUAACUGGAGGACCGAACCGACUAAUGUUGAAAAAUUAGCGGAUGACCUGUGGCUGGGGGUGAAAGGCCAAUCAAACCGGGAGAUAGCUGGUUCUCCCCGAAAGCUAUUUAGGUAGCGCCUCGUGAAUUCAUCUCCGGGGGUAGAGCACUGUUUCGGCUAGGGGGCCAUCCCGGCUUACCAACCCGAUGCAAACUGCGAAUACCGGAGAAUGUUAUCACGGGAGACACACGGCGGGUGCUAACGUCCGUCGUGAAGAGGGAAACAACCCAGACCGCCAGCUAAGGUCCCAAAGUCAUGGUUAAGUGGGAAACGAUGUGGGAAGGCCCAGACAGCCAGGAUGUUGGCUUAGAAGCAGCCAUCAUUUAAAGAAAGCGUAAUAGCUCACUGGUCGAGUCGGCCUGCGCGGAAGAUGUAACGGGGCUAAACCAUGCACCGAAGCUGCGGCAGCGACACUCAGGUGUUGUUGGGUAGGGGAG